UCAUCAUUUGAUCGAUCGAAUUAUACAAAACUAACGACAGAAUUUCUCCGACAUGAAAAAUAUAGCAGUAGUAAUGGUGUUAGUGUUUACCUGGCUGUACCUAGCGGUUGUAACAGGUCAGGGUGCCAACAACGACUUCACCAGGAUGUUACGAAAUGGACGAGUAUCGAGACAGGCCGUCAUCUGUAGUAGAAACAUGGCCUGUGAAUGGGCCAUCUGUCCAUGGAGAAAGAAUGUCAUAGUUACCAGAAAUGAAUGUAAUUUUAUACCAAAUAUGCACUGCUCAUGCGCCAGUGGAACUUCCUGUAGAUCAUCUGGAUCUAUGGAAACACAUCGAAAGUCCUUAGUUACUUACGUUUUCACGUGUCAAUAACAAAUUGUGAUAGAUAACAUUUCCAGCCAGCCUUUAUUUAUAUUUUAAUUUGAAAAAAGCGAGUGAAAGAACAGAUGCCGCCAUCACUCCUGAAACAGUUUCCAGUCUACCUGAAUAAAUUAAAUGGACAUUAUUUAAAGAGUGUCGC